UGCAUCUCUUAAAAUAAUAUCAUGGAUUUCAAACGGAUAAUCCAUAUUAAAAUCCUUAGUACAAUUAUUAACAAUGACCCAAUUACAAAGAUAGCCUGCCGCUUUAUUACAAUAGCACGGACCCCAAACAAAGCUAACACUAGAAAAUGGGUACAACAAUUUAAGAAUUUCCCGAAUUCAGUAGCCCAUGGUUGAAAAGUCAGCUUUCGUCCUAUUUAGCCGAUUCACCAAGUU
rnacentral:lncRNA from 1 species